AGGUCAUUGCUAUUGGAGUCCGAUUUAGCCAUGCUAGUUGCACGAGUUUGUACUCGUAGCAGAUAGCUCAGUAACACGUGGCCAAACUACCCUAUGGAUCCGGACAACCUCGGGAAACUGAGGCUAAUCCGGAAUACGACUCUCAGCCUGGAAGUGGCGAGAGUCAGAAACGCCCCGGCGCCAUAGGAUGUGGCUGCGGCCGAUUAGGUAGACGGUGGGGUAACGGCCCACCGUGCCCAUAAUCGGUACGGGUUGUGAGAGCAAGAGCCCGGAGACGGUAUCUGAGACAAGAUACCGGGCCCUACGGGGCGCAGCAGGCGCGAAACCUUUACACUGCACGAAAGUGCGAUAAGGGGACUCCAAGUGCGAGGGCAUAUAGUCCUCGCUUUUCACUGCCGUAAGGUGGUAGUAGAAUAAGUGCUGGGCAAGACCGGUGCCAGCCGCCGCGGUAAUACCGGCAGCACGAGUGAUGACCGCUCUUAUUGGGCC
rnacentral:rRNA from 1 species